ensembl:snoRNA SNORD115 Small nucleolar RNA SNORD115
GGGUUGAUGAUGAGAAUCUUCUAUUUUCUUGAAGAGAGGUGAUGACUUAAAAAUCCUGCUCAAUAGGAUUAUGCUGAGGCCC